AUGGGUGAGGACUACACGCAGCACCUGUCAGACUACCACGUCCAGGAGCGAUGUGAGCAGUGUGGCGCAACGGCCUGGGGACUCGUUGGAUUGCCGGAGCACAUUGAGAGUGCUCACCAUUUGAGCUGUCCAACAGAACCAAUAGAUGUUCCGGCUCCAACAGAACUAUACACAACACCGGCGCCACAGCAACACAGCAACCCACCAGUUGUUCCCGUCCCUGCUCCUGUCCCUCCCAUAGCCCAAGAGACGUCACCGGCGGCACCACAACAACAAACACUAACUCUGCGGCCUCCUCAAGUGAACUGGCUGAGUUUUCUGCCGAAGCAGUUCUUAAAAGUCAUAAAUCAGGCUGACCGGGAGUGGAUCGCACAGAUCCUAUAUGACCGAACAGGACAGCUAAAACAAAAGCAAACUCAGAACUGGUACCAUCCUCCAAGCCCCACUAGAUCCACCUCACCUCCAGAUCCACUGCACUACUUUAGGCAGCGGAUGUUCCUGUGGGCUCCAAUGAGGAUGUGGAGCAUCCCUCUUAAAUGCACGUCGUGUAAAAGGAAGAUGCACCACUCUGGCAUUUACACCAAAGUGAGAGAGGUGAUAGAUGUGGACUCCAGGUAUUAUCUGAUAGGUGGAGACUACCCAAGGUGCAGCAAAUGCAUGAUCCCUGUCUGCCCUUGGAGUAGUGAGAUCUUGCAGCAGCUGGAUCCCUCCCACCGUAACAAGUUUCCUGCUGUCCUAACGACACAGCAGGCACUGGACAGGAAGUGUGUCACAAUGUUGCGACCACGCACGGUAGGGAACAGCUCCAGCUACUCGCAACAGGUCUUGCAGGAGGUGCACAGCGAGGAGUGGGCGAGGCGUACUAUCGACUACCUCACUGAUUGUGAGGUCCAUAAAAUGUCGUGCGUCCUCACCCAGUCCGAACCUGUAUAUCAACAGCCACCCACCUUCAGUCGUCUGCCCCUGGCUCAGUGGUUUGAAACCGUCCACACGAAUGAGGUUCUUGGCCACCUGGAGGAGUUGAAAGGUGUUAUAACAUCAACUUAUGGCAGAAUCCUAAAGCUGGACUCCACCAAGAAGGUAAAAGUUAACUGA
rnacentral:lncRNA from 1 species